CAGCGAAGUCAUAAGUGAUCAUUCGACCCUACAACAAAGUGCAGAAAGUAACAUUGGGGGAAGCAACGCGGUAAGUGGAUAGGAAAGUCAUGGGAAUUCGAAUUAGAAAUUUGGAUGGCCCAAACAAUUGCUGUGGACGGUCAAGAAGUGAGAGAGAGAAAAGGAUGUUGGAUUAAUUAAUUGAGGCUUUCAUCUCUACCUUCAACCUUCAACGUAUAUCUUAUACUCAACCAGAAAAAGUAAACGAAACAGAAGCCGGAGAAAACCUCCAUUAAUACCGACUCCGGAGUUGCGCCGGUCGAUCCACUCGCCCCCAAAUCAUCGCCUAUCCUGAAGAAAAAAGAAGAAAACGAAACAGAGCUCCGUUACAAUCAUGUCGAAGUUGUCGGUGCUUAGCUCUCCGAUCCGUCCCCAAAUCAUUGUAAUGUGAGUUUCAAUCACUCAAAUCUCUCCCGUCAAAUCCAAAAUAAGUCAUAACAUUUCUUUUCAGCUACUACCAUUGGAAAAACCUUUGUUCUUGGAUCUUGAAAACCUAAGCAAAGAGCUCCAACGGAUCGCGGAGUUACUCUUAUUCCAUGGCUGCCUUCAUUUUCAAUAGCUUUACUCAGUGUGAAGUUACAAAAGAAGACUGAAAAAGAGCAAAAAUCUUGUCCAAUUUCAACUGUUGGACUUCACUAUGGAUAUGGAUAAAAUUUUCAUUGUAAUCCAACAUAGUGGUUAUUGGGAUGAAAAUCAAAAUUACAUCAACUUUCAAGUUCGCGAAAUGGUCAUUCCCAAUAAUUGCAACUACAACACCUUGGUUGGAAUGAUAUGUAAUGAGCUAAAGAUAGAUCUUGGAUCAACAACUCUAAAAAUAGAGUACCAAGGAAAAGACAACUACCGUCCAUUCCACAUAGAAGAUGACCUCGAGUUUUACUUCUACAAGGAGUUGAAGAAAAAAUAUUCAGAUUUUACAAAGUACCCGUUGUGCCUUACAAUGGAGAAUAACCAUAUUGAGUCGACUGUUUUUCCAACAUGAAGUACAUCAACAGAGAUUAACCAUAUUAAGCCGACUUUUUUUUCAACCAGAAGUACAUCAACUCAUAAUGAAUUGGGUAUAGAAUUGGGACAAGCUGAAGAAGGAACAUCAAAUUCAGAUGAAGAAGCAACUGUUGACAUGGAUGCAGAUGAGAGUGAAAAUUAUAUCUCCUAUGCAAGGCUGGUUGCCAAGCAAAUAAUAGAAAUGGGAAAUGAAGCAAACAGCGAUGCAUAAGAGAUUGAAAUAGACGAAGAUUCAGUAAUUAGCAACAAAAACCAUCAAGAAAUAGCUCCGUCUCAGAUUUGCAAGAAUGGAGCUGUAAAAAUCGAAACAUAGCUCAAGCAAUUUCCACGAGGUUGACAAGCAAACAUGAAGAAAUCUUAAAUGAUAACUACAAAUACUCAUUGAAGAUGACGAUAUGAUCCUCAACUUUAAAUUAUAAAUUACCUAACUUGACUAUAAAUUCUAAUAUUAGUACUUUCAAAUAUUAGGUGCACCCGACAAAUGAUGUUUUGUUCGAAGUUCGUGAUGGAUGCAAAAAAGCAAUAGUUGAUCUAAGCUCGAGAACUUGUACAUGCAAACGGUUCCAAAUAGAUCAACUUCCUUGUGGACAUGCAAUGGCUGUUCUAAAAGAUAUGAAUAAAGAUGCAUAUGAAUAUUGCUCAUCAUAUUACACAAAGGAGGCCAUGCUUGCAACUUAUGGAGAAAUUGUAUACCCUAUUCCUAAUGAAGACACAUGGGAGGUACCUGAAUAUGUUAAAUCAUGAGAAGUUCAGCCUCCAAAAGAAAAAGUAAGAGUGGGAAGACCAAAGAAAAGAAGAAGCAAACCUUUAUAACAGAAAAACAAAAAACGAACAAAGCAAAUCAAAUGCGGAAAAUACAAUCAACCUUGACAUAACAAAAAGACUUGCAGAAAUUUGAAAAACUAGCAAAACUUGAUUAUUGCUUGAUUAAGCAAAAUUGCACAUCAUUUAGUUUGGCUAAAAAAGUCAGUAUAGUAUACAAAUAUUAUUUGAUGAUUUACAAAUAUAGAUUUGAUUUUGAUUUUGUUGCUUUACAAACAUAUAUUAGGAUUGAUUUUGUUGAUUUACAAACAUAUAUUUGGAUUGAUUUUGUUGCUUUAUAAAGAUAGAUUUGGAUUGAUUUGAUAGAUUA